UCGCGUGGCUCAUCGGCGUCCCGGCGCGCGAUGUCCUUUGAGCUCUUAUCACGUCUACGAACAAACGCGAUCUUCGAAAAUUCUGUACUGUGCAAAAAUUUAACAUUUCCCAUUUAAACUAUUCUGUGUUGGUUUUCAUUACCUUUUUAAUUCAGUUUUAAUUGUAUAAGUCGGUGCGUUUGUUAAUUUUUUACUUGCUUUCUACUUCUCUGUGACAUUAUUUAUUGUUUUAAUUGGAUUUGUUCAGCGAAGAUCUGGCAGCCUGUGUUUGGAAACUUACAACACCCCAGGCGCAGGUUGCGGGCGCAGCGCCAGCGGCGGCGGCGGCGGAGGCAGAAGCGGGGAACUGUUGAAGUCCGAGCAGCAAGAUCGGCUGCUACUGCGAGCGCGCGGCGGGCUGAUGGCCCGGUGACGCAGCAUGCGCCGCGUGUCCAUCGCCGCUUUACUGCGGCUGCUCCUCCUCGCAGGCGGCGCUAGCUUCGCAAACCCGUACGGCGGCGAGGAGCGCGUGGACCUCGGCCAGGUAUGGGUGGACAUCCCGAGCGCGCCGGUCGCGCUGGGCGGGG